rnacentral:rRNA from 1 species
AACUCCGUGCCAGCAGCCGCGGUAAUACGGAGGGUGCGAGCGUUAAUCGGAAUUACUGGGCGUAAAGCGCAUGCAGGUGGUUUGUUAAGUCAGAUGUGAAAGCCCGGGGCUCAACCUCGGAAUAGCAUUUGAAACUGGCAGACUAGAGUACUGUAGAGGGGGGUAGAAUUUCAGGUGUAGCGGUGAAAAUGCGUAGAGAUCUGAAGGAAUACCGGUGGCGAAGGCGGCCCCCUGGACAGAUACUGACACUCAGAUGCGAAAAGCGUGGGGAGCAAACAGGAUUAGAUACCCUGGUAG